AUAAUUAUUUCAAAAAUAGUAAUAUUUAUAUAUAAAAAUUAAUUUUAUUUAAUAUAUUUCAUUUUUAUAAGAGUAUAUAUAAAAUUUUAUGUAAAUUUUGUAAUAUUAUACAUAGAAAUAAUUAAAAGCAUUAUAUAUGUUUUUAUUUUUAAAUUAUUGUUAAAAUUUUAUAUAUAUUAAUAUUAUUUUUUAUUUAUUUUAAGGAUCCAAAUCCGGAUCCGGAUAUCCGCCGGAUAUUACAAUUUUUAGAAGGAUAUCCGACACCCGAAUAUCCGAGAACCCCGAAUCCGGAUAAAAAUAGAAAAAUUAUGAAUCCGCCGGAUACCCGAUCAGUCCCAGGCCUAUGGGGUGGGUUCAUAAUCAUAACUUAUAUUCCCUCUAUCUAUAAUAUAUCAUGUUUAAUUUCUUAAUUCUUUUUUGCAAAUUUUUAUGUAAAAGUUAAAUUUAUUUAAUCGGUAUAACUGUUUUUAUAUUUGUUAAAUUGUUUAUUAUUAAAUAUUAAAAUGUGUUAGUAUAAAAAAAUAAAAAAAAUAGUCUAAGAAUCAAAAAUAAAACAUAUAUGAAUUAUACAUUUUCUUAAAAUUUAAUUUUAAAAUACAUAACUUAUAUCUUUUCCGAAAUAUCUUAUAAAAUAGGAAAGAGAGAGUUAACAUCUAUAAACAUGUAAAAACAAUGUGUAUAUUUGUUGUUUGCUAAAUAUUGGUUGAACUAAACAUUUCAAAGAGUUGGAGAAUAGUAGAAAACCAAAGAGCUCAACCACUAAAUAAUCCAAGAAUCAAUACAAUACUAAAAGGGAAAUAAGAGCCUCAGUUAGGCCAUCCACGUAGGAUAAAAAAUCACCCAAUCAUAUUAUAAGGUUUUGCCACGUAAGCUACAGUUUGCGUUUUUAAAAAAUCUGUGGUGUUUAUAUGAUUGGGCCAGGAAGCCCAUCAAUCUGAUUCGUGAAACCCUUUGCUCUUCUUCUUCUUCGUUUCCGUUUCACGCGAUCAACUCAGAUAUCUCUGAUAGCAACUUCAUGCCUCCUUCUGUCUAAAUUGAAAGUCGGUGGCUUUGGUAAGAAAGUCCAGAUGCGUCUGUUUCGGUUUUGGGAGGCUCAUAAUGUGAAGAAAGGAGGACAGCUCAUGGGUGACACGCUCUUCAUCAAUUAAAAGAUGUUACUGUCACCGUAUCUCCCUAUUCGGCUUAUCCCGUGGAGACGCCGCCGCCUCGAACCACCUAGGACAUGAACGUUUGUAAAGCUUCUGGAGUUUUUAUUCUUCCAAUCUGCUGACAAAACAUAUGGGAGAUCGAUCGAAGGUGUUGUUAGUGACAACACCAAAAAUUUGAUUUAUGCAGUGGAAUCUUUACACGAGGAACUUCUGCCUGGAACAUGGAAGACUUUGACAGUACACCGAGACUGAAAGCUAGCUUCAAUUUGUUGAAAGAACGUAUACGUGGUAGUUUAGAGAAAAAAAAAUAACUCUGAGGUGGAAAUAUCUUCCUCUCAUUGAACCAACUACACUCGGUGAGAGUACGUUUUUCCCUGCAGAAUUUACCUUUUCCUUUUGUGAAUACACAAUGGAAUCCAUUGGUUUGAUUCACUUUCAGAAUUUCUUCAUUUUCUGUGGAUUUGUUUUUUUUUUUGGUUGAGCACAGAACCUGAUCAUAGCUUUGUUUGGGUUCCUUGGCGGUGAUACUACGGUUGAUGCUUUAUUUGUUGAUCUUGAGCCCACUGUUAUCGAUGAAGUCUGUACGGGAACUUACCGUCAGCUUUUCCAUCCUGAGCAGCUUAUCUUUUGGAACAACUUCACCGAAGGCAAUUAUACUGUGUUGCGGUUGUGGUGUGCUGAAGUUUUAGCUAAAGAUCUACCUCAAAUUUUUUCUUCAUUUUCUCCAUGGUCUCCAUUUUUUCUUCAUUUCUUGAAGUCACCACGGUUGACCCAACGAAUCUGGAACAUAUUAAUGAGAAUCACAUGCAUGAAGGAACAUAAGGAAUUGGGGAUGAGGAAUCUGCCAAGCCCGCCAGCAACACGAAUAAAGGAGCAAAAUGCGGUGGCGACGGAAUCAGAGCAGAUACAAGUGUCACACAUGAUGUGUGAUCUGUUUGGAUGAUUUCGAAGUAAACAUCUUUAGGAUUCUAGGUGGGAUGCAAGCGCGUGUUUCACGUGAGUGUAUAGACUCAUGGUGUUUUUGCAAGUUCAUGUGUCCAACUUGCAACGUACCAUUCCAGUGUUUCGUUAAUUGGUAAAGCUGGGUGAAAAGUUUAGGGCUUAAAUAUUUGGUAUCGUGCGAUUUGAUAAUAUCCGGCGAGAUCUUUUUCAAUUCUUAGCUUUUACCACUCAUAUUAGUUAGUAACAAACACUCAAGUUGCUAUUACUGUGGUGAUCAUUUUCUACCGUCUAUAUCAUGACCUACCCUCAGUUUAGUCUUUCAUAUUUUUAUCUGUAUGCUUAUACAGAAAAGUUGGUGAUUUUUUAUUUUUUUUUAACUUCAGGAUCAAUAUAUACUUUUGCUUUUGGAUUUCUUAUAUAGUGUUCUAAAUUUAUAAAUCCUCCCAUAAACAAAAAAAAAAUGGUUAUUAUACAUAAACUAAUCGAUUCUUUGAUGUAGUAAUAAGAAUAUUUAUUAGAAACUUUAUAUGGGGAUUUUUCUAGAUUCAAAUGCAUUAUAAUUUUUACAUGAACCAACUAAAAAUCCAUAUCAAAAUUUCAAUUGAGUUUCUAUAAAAAAAAUACAACAUUAUCCUACUAUCACAUUUCUUAUAUGAAUAUGUAAUUUAUAAAUGAUAAACUCAUGUGUAUCCCUAAAAAUACCCUAACGGGAUAUACCGACAAUGCAAAGUAUAUGCAGCUCCUUCGCGUCAAAUUAUGCAUAAAGAGGAUUCAUGGGUCCAGUGGAAGUUGCAUUAUGAAUGAUGUUCAUUAUUAUUAAAAAUGUAUACUUUGAAACUUAGAUAAAAAAAUGUGAUUGGUAUUUAUAGGUUACAUUUGGUUCACGAGUUUCGGUCUCAAAGUUUGGAAAAUAAUAAAUCAUUUAGUAAAAAAAGAAAUCAUGAGAGUAUAAAACUAAAACUUCACGACAACAUUUUUAGGCAUAUAUUAUUUUGUUUAAGCUUAAAAUUUUGUCAAACAUUCUACAGUAUUUGAUAGAAUAUUAAACAUCAUAUAUUUAAUAUAUAUAUAUUUUUUUAAAAAGAACAUAAUUAAUAUAUACAAAAUAUGAAUCGAAGAUAAAUAAAUGCUUUCAUUAAAUAAAAAUUUUAAAAUAAAUGAGAAUAACUAAAUAAUAGAAUGUCAGAAAACAUAUUAAUAACAAAUAAAAACUAAAACACAUCAAAAAUGUAAACAAUCAUCAAAUUUAAACUAAACAAAUAUAAUAUUUCCGCCCGUAGGGCGAACAAACCACUAGUAACAAAUAAAGCUCAUUCCAUCAUUUAUCGUGAACAAACCAUUGAAGCUAAACCAUUUAACCGGAUUUGCAAUUAAGACCAAACCCAAGAGGAAGUAAUGGGUCAUACAAAUUGGCAUCUUCACUUAGUGGCAACUGGUCAACACGCUUGAACCAACUCAUGGUAACUUCCCUUCGAAGUCCUCCUAAUCUCCAAAAAUGUGAACAGCAAUUGGAUUUGUGUUUACAGAAAUAUUUGAUUCAUUGUAUCAAUCUAUACGAAAGUUUUAUGUUAACAAAAAUUAUCAGAGAACUCAAUCUCUAACGAAUCAUCGUUUUUCUCAGAGUAAAUUACGGCAAAAUGUUAAAUAUCGUUACAGGUCAACUCUAUUGUCAAGUAUUGAGCUUCGAGACUCUAAUCUUAUUAUAAGGUUAAAAAAUCACCCAAUCAUAUUAUAAGGUUUUGCCACGUAAGCUACAGUUUGCGUUUUUAAAAAAUCUGUGGUGUUUAUAUGAUUGGGCCAGGAAGCCCAUCAAUCUGAUUCGUGAAACCCUUUGCUCUUCUUCUUCUUCGUUUCCGUUUCACGCGAUCAACUCAGAUAUCUCUGAUAGCAACUUCAUGCCUCCUUCUGUCUAAAUUGAAAGUCGGUGGCUUUGGUAAGAAAGUCCAGAUGCGUCUGUUUCGGUUUUGGGAGGCUCAUAAUGUGAAGAAAGGAGGACAGCUCAUGGGUGACACGCUCUUCAUCAAUUAAAAGAUGUUACUGUCACCGUAUCUCCCUAUUCGGCUUAUCCCGUGGAGACGCCGCCGCCUCGAACCACCUAGGACAUGAACGUUUGUAAAGCUUCUGGAGUUUUUAUUCUUCCAAUCUGCUGACAAAACAUAUGGGAGAUCGAUCGAAGGUGUUGUUAGUGACAACACCAAAAAUUUGAUUUAUGCAGUGGAAUCUUUACACGAGGAACUUCUGCCUGGAACAUGGAAGACUUUGACAGUACACCGAGACUGAAAGCUAGCUUCAAUUUGUUGAAAGAACGUAUACGUGGUAGUUUAGAGAAAAAAAAAUAACUCUGAGGUGGAAAUAUCUUCCUCUCAUUGAACCAACUACACUCGGUGAGAGUACGUUUUUCCCUGCAGAAUUUACCUUUUCCUUUUGUGAAUACACAAUGGAAUCCAUUGGUUUGAUUCACUUUCAGAAUUUCUUCAUUUUCUGUGGAUUUGUUUUUUUUUUUGGUUGAGCACAGAACCUGAUCAUAGCUUUGUUUGGGUUCCUUGGCGGUGAUACUACGGUUGAUGCUUUAUUUGUUGAUCUUGAGCCCACUGUUAUCGAUGAAGUCUGUACGGGAACUUACCGUCAGCUUUUCCAUCCUGAGCAGCUUAUCUUUUGGAACAACUUCACCGAAGGCAAUUAUACUGUGUUGCGGUUGUGGUGUGCUGAAGUUUUAGCUAAAGAUCUACCUCAAAUUUUUUCUUCAUUUUCUCCAUGGUCUCCAUUUUUUCUUCAUUUCUUGAAGUCACCACGGUUGACCCAACGAAUCUGGAACAUAUUAAUGAGAAUCACAUGCAUGAAGGAACAUAAGGAAUUGGGGAUGAGGAAUCUGCCAAGCCCGCCAGCAACACGAAUAAAGGAGCAAAAUGCGGUGGCGACGGAAUCAGAGCAGAUACAAGUGUCACACAUGAUGUGUGAUCUGUUUGGAUGAUUUCGAAGUAAACAUCUUUAGGAUUCUAGGUGGGAUGCAAGCGCGUGUUUCACGUGAGUGUAUAGACUCAUGGUGUUUUUGCAAGUUCAUGUGUCCAACUUGCAACGUACCAUUCCAGUGUUUCGUUAAUUGGUAAAGCUGGGUGAAAAGUUUAGGGCUUAAAUAUUUGGUAUCGUGCGAUUUGAUAAUAUCCGGCGAGAUCUUUUUCAAUUCUUAGCUUUUACCACUCAUAUUAGUUAGUAACAAACACUCAAGUUGCUAUUACUGUGGUGAUCAUUUUCUACCGUCUAUAUCAUGACCUACCCUCAGUUUAGUCUUUCAUAUUUUUAUCUGUAUGCUUAUACAGAAAAGUUGGUGAUUUUUUAUUUUUUUUUAACUUCAGGAUCAAUAUAUACUUUUGCUUUUGGAUUUCUUA